AUGGAAGGAUUUGGGUCUGUCCAAGAAGGCAAGGGAGGUACUUAUCAAGUCUGGACUCCAAUCAGUACCAACUUUCACCAUGAGUUGUUUCCACCUCACAAAGAAAACGUGCCGGAAUCUGAAUUCUAUCUCGUCGAAAUUCUGGUGGGGGCAAAGGAUGGUGAGAAAAAAGUACAUUGGAUUUCAUGGCAAAAGAUGUGCACCUCUAAAAGGGAUGGAGGGAUGGGUUUUCGUGACCCGACAGUGUUUAAUCAGCCUCUACUUGCAAAGCAAGCCUGGCGUGUCCUACAAUGCCCGGAGUCGUUGGUGGCAAGAGUGCUCAAGGCGCGUUACUUCAAAGAGGAAUCCAUAUUGAGCGCAACGUGCCCUGCUACAGCCUCAUACACUUACAGACGCGUUUUGCACGGCAGGGAU
rnacentral:rRNA from 1 species